AGUGAACGCUGGCGGUAGGCCUAACACAUGCAAGUCGAACGGCAGCACAGUAAGAGCUUGCUCUUACGGGUGGCGAGUGGCGGACGGGUGAGGAAUACAUCGGAAUCUACUUUUUCGUGGGGAUAACGUAGGGAAACUUACGCUAAUACCGCAUACGACCUACGGGUGAAAGCAGGGGAUCUUCGGACCUUGCGCGAUUGAAUGAGCCGAUGUCGGAUUAGCUAGUUGGCGGGGUAAAGGCCCACCAAGGCGACGAUCCGUAGCUGGUCUGAGAGGAUGAUCAGCUACACUGGAACUGAGACACGGUCCAGACUCCUACGGGAGGCAGCAGUGGGGAAUAUUGGACAAUGGGCGCAAGCCUGAUCCAGCCAUACCGCGUGGGUGAAGAAGGCCUUCGGGUUGUAAAGCCCUUUUGUUGGGAAAGAAAAGCAGCAGGUUAAUACCCCGCUGUUCUGACGGUACCCAAAGAAUAAGCACCGGCUAACUUCGUG
rnacentral:rRNA from 1 species